rnacentral:rRNA from 1 species
AUGGAACGCUGGCGGCAGGCAUAACACAUGCAAGUCGAACGAUUGGCGGACGGUUGAGUAAUGUCUGUGAAACUGCCCGAUGGAGGGGGAUAAUUACUGGAAACGGUAGCUAAUACCGCAUACGAUGCGUUGUGCCCAUAUGUGAUUAGCUAGUAGUUGGGGUAACGGCUUACCUAGGCUACAUUCCCUAGCUGGUCUGAGAGGAGGACCAGCCACACGGUAACUGAGACACGGUCCAGACUCCUACGUGAGGCAGCAGUGGGGAAUAUUGCACAAUGGGCGCAAGCCUGAUACAGCAAUGCCGCGUGUAUGAAGAAGGCCUUCGGGUUGUAAAGUACUUUCAGCGAGGAGGCGUUACUCGCAGAAGAAGCACCGGCUAACUCCGUGCCAGCAGCCGCGGUAAUAC